rnacentral:rRNA from 1 species
UACGUAGGGUGCAAGCGUUAAUCGGUAUUACUGGGCGUAAAGCGUGCGCAGGCGGUUCUAUAAGACAGAUGUGAAAUCCCCGGGCUCAACCUGGGAACUGCAUUUGUGACUGUAGAGCUGGAGUGCGGCAGAGGGGGAUGGAAUUCCGCGUGUAGCAGUGAAAUGCGUAGAUAUGCGGAGGAACACCGAUGGCGAAGGCAAUCCCCUGGGCCUGCACUGACGCUCAUGCACGAAAGCGUGGGGAGCAAACAGG